UGGGGAAUCUUGCACAAUGGGCGAAAGCCUGAUGCAGCGACGCCGCGUGAGGGAUGACGGCCUUCGGGUUGUAAACCUCUUUCAGCAGGGACGAAGCGAAAGUGACGGUACCUGCAGAAGAAGGACCGGCCAACUACGUGCCAGCAGCCGCGGUAAUACGUAGGGUCCAAGCGUUGUCCGGAAUUAUUGGGCGUAAAGAGCUCGUAGGCGGCUUGUCGCGUCGGCUGUGAAUACCUGGGGCUCAACCCCGGGCCUGCAGCCGAUACGGGCAAGCUAGAAUUCGGUAGGGGAGACUGGAACUCCUGGUGUAGCGGUGAAAUGCGCAGAUAUCAGGAAGAACACCGGUGGCGAAGGCGGGUCUCUGGGCCGAUAUUGACGCUGAGGAGCGAAAGCGUGGGGAGCGAACAGG
rnacentral:rRNA from 1 species